rnacentral:rRNA from 1 species
UGCGUAGGCGGCCUGACAAGUCAGAGGUGAAAGGCUACGGCUUAACCGUAGUAAGCCUUUGAAACUGACAGGCUUGAGUGCAGGAGAGGAAAGUGGAAUUCCUAGUGUAGCGGUGAAAUGCGUAGAUAUUAGGAGGAACACCAGUGGCGAAGGCGACUUUCUGGACUGUAACUGACGCUGAGGCACGAAAGCGUGGGGAGCGAACAGGAUUAGAUACCCUGGUAGUCCA